rnacentral:rRNA from 1 species
AGGGAUUGCCCUAGUAACGGCGAGUGAAGCGGCAACAGCUCAAAUUUGAAAUCUGGCCUUCGGGUCCGAGUUGUAAUUUGUAGAGGAUGCUUUUGGUGCGGUGCCUUCCGAGUUCCCUGGAACGGGACGCCAUAGAGGGUGAGAGCCCCGUCUGGUUGGAUACCAAUCCUCUGUAAAGCUCCUUCGACGAGUCGAGUAGUUUGGGAAUGCUGCUCUAAAUGGGAGGUAUAUGUCUUCUAAAGCUAAAUACCGGCCAGAGACCGAUAGCGCACAAGUAGAGUGAUCGAAAGAUGAAAAGCACUUUGAAAAGAGGGUUAAACAGUACGUGAAAUUGUUGAAAGGGAAGCGCUUGUGACCAGACUUGGGCAUGGUUAAUCAUCCAGCGUUCUCGCUGGUGCACUUGGCCUGCCCAGGCCAGCAUCAGUUCGGUGCGGGGGAUAAAGGCUUCGGGAAUGUGGCUCCUCCGGGAGUGUUAUAGCCCGUUGUGCAAUACCCUGCGCUGGACUGAGGUUCGCGCAUCUGCAUGGAUGCUGGCGUAAUGGUCAUCAGCGACCCGUCUUGAAACACGGACCAAGGAGUCGUCCUCGUAUGCGAGUGUUCGGGUGUUAAACCCCUACGCGUAAUGAAAGUGAACGCAGGUGAGAGCUUCGGCGCAUCAUCGACCGAUCCUGAUGUUCUCGGAUGGAUUUGAGUAAGAGCAUACGGGGCCGGACCCGAAAGAAGGUGAACUAUGCCUGUAUAGGGUGAAGCCAGAGGAAACUCUGGUGGAGGCUCGCAGCGGUUCUGACGUGCAAAUCGAUCGUCAAAUAUGGGCAUGGGGGCGAAAGACUAAUCGAA